rnacentral:rRNA from 1 species
GAUGAACGCUGGCGGCGUGCCUAAUACAAGCAAGUCGAGCGAACAGAUGAGAAGCUUGCUUCUCUGAUGUUAGCGGCGGACGGGUGAGUAACACGUGGGUAACCCACCUAUAAGACUGGGAUAACUCCGGGAAACCGGGGCUAAUACCGGAUAAUAUUUUGAACCGCAUGGUUCAAUAGUGAAAGACGGUUUCGGCUGUCACUUAUAGAUGGACCCGCGCCGUAUUAGCUAGCUGGUAAGGUAACGGCUUACCAAGGCGACGAUACGUAGCCGACCUGAGAGGGUGAUCGGCCACACUGGAACUGAGACACGGUCCAGACUCCUACGGGAGGCAGCAGUAGGGAAUCUUCCGCAAUGGGCGAAAGCCUGACGGAGCAACGCCGCGUGAGUGAUGAAGGUCUUCGGAUCGUAAAACUCUGUUGUUAGGGAAGAACAAGGAUGAGAGUAACUGCUCGUCCCUUGACGGUAUCUAACCAGAAAGCUAUGGCUAACUACGUGCCAGCCGCCGCAGUAA